AGAAAGCGCAGGUAUACUGUCAAAUAUGCAUCCUUCACAUUGAUCUUUACAAACCAGUCUCUCCGUUUUAAAAGAUCUCUUAAUAUAUGAAUGCCUUCCAUUUUGAAAUGUUCGUAUACCAGAUAUUGGUGCAACGGUUUUUAGUUAACUACUGAGCGAUUGCUUCAAAGAACUUAAGAAGCGUGAUUCACUAGAGUCUAGAUAAACAGCUAAUUGUUCUUCAGCAAUUCAUGUGUUGUGGUCGAUAAACCACAGCUAUAGGGUCCAAUCGCUCUUUGAAAAUUUGAGAAUUUGGUCCAAUGUUUUGUUUCAGAUUUAGCUUAAGACUUUUUCAGGCUUUUCAGUGAAUUCGUCAAUUUCCACAUUUCCCCCCACAACUUGUAUUUGAAGGAUUUUGUCAAUUUCUCUUAGUUUAUGAGAUACUUAUUAACGCGAUAUCUUAAUUUUUUUGACUUGUAGAAAACAGUUAAAGAUCUCGGCAAUUGGGAGGCUGGUAUGAUAAGCGAUUCAGGACAGUGCCAGUUUUUACGGUUAUUACUGAAAUUAAUGAAUGCAAAGAAAGCCAUAGAAAUUGGUUUGU